rnacentral:sRNA from 1 species
AGAAUACAUAGAAUUAAGAAUGAAAGC